UACGAAGGGUGCAAGCGUUACUCGGAAUUACUGGGCGUAAAGCGUGCGUAGGUGGUUUGUUAAGUCUGAUGUGAAAGCCCUGGGCUCAACCUGGGAAUUGCAUUGGAUACUGGCAGGCUAGAGUGCGGUAGAGGGUAGUGGAAUUCCCGGUGUAGCAGUGAAAUGCGUAGAUAUCGGUAGGAACACCAGUGGCGAAGGCGGUCUCCUGGGGCAUUCUUGACGCUGAGGCGCGAAAGCUGGGGGAGCAAACGGG
rnacentral:rRNA from 1 species